rnacentral:rRNA from 1 species
AUUAAAAACCAAUGCCCUUCGGGGCUCUCUGGUGAUUCAUAAUAACUUCUCGAAUCGCACGGCCUUGCGCCGGCGAUGGUUCAUUCAAAUUUCUGCCCUAUCAACUUUCGACGGCUGGGUCUUGGCCAGCCGUGGUGACAACGGGUAACGGAGGGUUAGGGCUCGACCCCGGAGAAGGAGCCUGAGAAACGGCUACUACAUCCAAGGAAGGCAGCAGGCGCGCAAAUUACCCAAUCCCGACACGGGGAGGUAGUGACAAUAAAUACUGAUACAGGGCUCUUUCGGGUCUUGUAAUUGGAAUGAGUACAAUUUAAAUCCCUUAACGAGGAACAAUUGGAGGGCAAGUCUGGUGCCAGCAGCCGCGGUAAUUCCAGCUCCAAUAGCGUAUAUUAAAGUUGUUGAGGUUAAAAAGCUCGUAGUUGAACCUUGGGCCUAGCCGGCCGGUCCGCCUCACCGCGUGCACUGGCUCGGCUGGGUCUUUCCUUCUGGAGAACCGCAUGCCCUUCGCUGGGUGUGCC